rnacentral:sRNA from 1 species
UUUGCACUCAUCGGGGAAAGGUGAGAACCUUCGACUAAGGUUCGAUUCGAGCGAAAGCGAGAGAACGUUGCCACAGGCAACGGCCCGAAGGGUGAGGAGCGAAGCGACGAAUAAUCCUUCCCCCACCACCA